rnacentral:lncRNA from 1 species
UGUCAGCUAGUCUAAGACAUAGUCACCUUAGCUAUAGGAUCUAUUUCAUUGUUCAAAAUACUAAACGCGUAGGCACUUCCCUUGGUCAUAUAACACGUAUCCUGACACAUGUGUAAUACUGUCAAAAUAGAAAAAGUGGCAGCUCCACAAGUCGCCAAAUUCGACAAAAAUUAGAAUGUUACAGGCUCGGUUAGAUAGAACAUGUUCCAGGAAAGUUGUGAAAAAUACAUGUAAACAUUGUUUUGUAUGAAGAAUAUAAUCGUAAUUCAAAAACAAGGACAGUGAUCUGAUAGAGAAGGGACAGAAACAAAUGGUCAAUGGAGUCCUUGCUCUUUAUCCUGUCACGUUCCAAAGUUACAGGUCAGUUUUAGUAAAAGUUAUCUCAUCUUACGUACUGGUUAAACACAAAUAAUCUCUUGUUAUGCAUCAAUUCUAUGUCUUAACAACAAACAGAGUAACUAGAGAAACACCAUAAAGGCCUGCCACGACAAACCAGAAGACAAAAUAUUCUACCUGUACAGUCAGCCACAAACAAAGAGGAAAGCUUAAUGUCCACCUGUACAAGGGCUAUACACCAAACAUGCGGCGUUUCUCAAAAUAAUUGGGUCAUAGCCUCUUUCAAUAAAACGAUUUAUAAUAAUUUUCUACAAAACACUUGACAAUUUUCCAUGACUUAGAAUCUUACGAAUUUUGUAAAGUACAUCUCUAUAUAAAUCAUGUUUUGAACAACUUUGUCGAGGAAGUGCGUUUAGAUGAUUUUGAAAAUUUAAAACCAUCUGAAUUUCGAUGUAAAAGUUUUGUAAUAUAUUUACGCAGAUUAAGACAGCAGCAGUCCAUUUUGGUAACAUAUUUGUUGUUCUACAUAAGAAUAAGAAUCCAAAAGGACAUCAAAAACAUGUAUUAAACUCUGGAAACCAAAGUCAGUGUGAUACAUUGAUGUGGUGUACAUUUUCUCCAACUCCAUGUACUGUUUUUCGUUGAAAAUGUUUACUGAGUGAAAAUAUAUGGUUUAUCAUAUUUUAUUGUAAGGAAGGACGGAAAUUCUUUUGACAGGACUGUUAGAAAUAAAUAUAUGUUUCCCUAUUUCGAAAUUUCUUUCAUUUUUGAUUAUUACCUGAAUACACAAAAAAAUAAUUGUUCACCAUAUACUAUACUUGGUUUUGAACUGCUCUUGUGUUAUUUUUUCUUCAAUUUUAUUUUAUAGCUUACAAAACUGCAGCGGAGUUUGGUGGAUACAGACGAAACCACAUUAUCAGCAACCUCGUGCUCAGUCCAGUUAAUGGAAAAGUGUUCAGACGACACAAGCGCGGGCUCACUGGCAUAGACGUGGGAAAUCGGGCGAAUAAACUGAUCACACCAUCAGUCAUAAUAAGAACAAUAAGGCCACAUUCAACUGGUACAACUUCUCCGAAACAGACUACACCGAAAGUUACAACACCGACAGUGACAACAACAAAAGAGACAACACAGAAAGUGACAACAACAAAAGAGACAACACAGAAAGUGACAACAACAAAAGAGACAACACAGAAAGUGACAACAACAAAAGAGGCAACAACGAAAGUGCCGACAACGAAAGUGAUAACAAUGAAGGGGACGACACCUACAAAGACACAAAGUAAACGUCCGAUUGUCAAACGCGGUAAUUCAAAAUAUAAGGCCAAAGGAAAACCAGGUCAAACAAAAAUCCGGAGCGGUAAAAGGUGGAACGAUGCUCUAUCUACUAUUUUUUGAACGUGAAUAAAAUCGCUUUCAAAGUUUAACUCGUGUCUAGUUUCUGUAUUUCUGGGCUAAAAUGAUAAUAAAGUAUCUACUUG